UUAAGUACCACCCAAGAUUAUUAAUUCAUUUUAGUUGAGUUAAAUCAUGAUACUUUUAAAUGCAAGUUCUAUAAGUUCCAGCCCUGAAGAUUAAAGGAAAAAACGCUAAAUCAAUUGAAAAUACAACAAUGGUGAAAUCAUAAAACGACCCCAACUCAAACCUAAUGACGGAAAAGUACAGAUUUUCUUUUCACAAUUUCAACGGGUUUUUUGGUAGUUAAUGGAACAGUUAAGAAUAGGUGACCAAGUUGGCAACCCUGCCUAAAAGCUGAACUGACUAUCUGACUGUCUUUUUACUUGUGCGUCGGGAGAGAAAGUGUGACGGAUAGCCUAAUAAGUAAUGAAUGUGGCGCUUAAAGAGGAGGACAAAUGAAACCAGGUGGAGGGUUUUUCCCACAAGUUAUUAAAGCUUGAAGAGCAAGGGGAAUGAAGAUGUUAAGGUUUAGGAGCUUAAGCCUUAUGGCUGUGCAAAGACAAACGGCUGCUUCGAGCUCUAGUAGACCUCCCAGCACUGGGCAGCAAGCAUUCUCAACAGGGUCUCCUAACCCAAUAUGCACCAAUCCUCCAAGCACAUCCACGCACAGUCCUAGCUUAAGUGCAUUAACCGGGCAUGUUGGUUGGGUAGUUGGUGGAGCAGGAGUGCUACCCCCACCACCACCACCUCCACCACCGCCACCGCCACCUCCUCCACCGCCGCCUCCACCAGAAGGUGGGUAAGGAGAAGAAGGUGGUGGGUUUGUAACAGGAGGGUUGGUAAUGGGAGGGUUUGGUAUUGGUGGGACAAUAACUGGUGGCCUUGGCGGCUUUUUGGAUGGUGGUUCUACCUUUGGGGCGCCUCCAUGUUUUGGUGGGUGCUUA
rnacentral:lncRNA from 1 species